GACGAACGCUGGCGGCGUGCUUAACACAUGCAAGUGGUGCGACGAACCAGGCUUCGGCCUGGGGCAGAGCCGCGAACGGGUGAGUAACACGUGGGCAACCUGCCCUGUUGAUCGGGACAACCCGGGGAAACCCGGGCUAAUACCGAAUGUGGUGCCGGCUCAUGAGAGCCGUCACGAAAGGAAUCUUCGGCCUCCGCGACAGGAUGGGCCCGCGGCCCAUUAGCUUGUUGGUGGGGUAAUGGCCUACCAAGGCAACGAUGGGUAGCUGGUCUGAGAGGACGAUCAGCCACACUGGGACUGAGACACGGCCCAGACUCCUACGGGAGGCUGCAGUGGGGAAUCUUGCGCAAUGAGCGACAGCUUGACGCAGCAACGCCGCGUGGGGGAAGAAGGCUUUCGGGUCGUAAACCCCUUUCAGUUAGGACGAAGCUUUAUUGGUUAAUAACCAAUUAGAGUGACGGUACUUUCAGAAGAAGCCCCGGCUAACUACGUGCCAGCAGCCGCAGUAA
rnacentral:rRNA from 1 species